rnacentral:rRNA from 1 species
UACGUAGGGGGCAAGCGUUGUCCGGAUUUAUUGGGCGUAAAGAGCGUGUAGGCGGCCUGGUAGGUCAGCUGUGAAAACUCGAGGCUCAACCUCGAGACGCCGGUUGAAACCAUCAGGCUAGAGUCCGGAAGAGGAGAGUGGAAUUCCCGGUGUAGCGGUGAAAUGCGCAGAUAUCGGGAAGAACACCCGUGGCUAAGGCGGCUCUCUAGGACGGUACUGACGCUGAGACGCGAAAGCGUGGGGAGCGAACAGG